CCAGAAGCAAAGGUUCUACUGAAACACUUCUUGACUUGACAGGAGUUUUCUCCAGGAAGACUCAUAUUCAAGAAGACUAUGGGAAUGCACACUUCAGAGACUAAGCUAGCAGUAGGUUGGGAGUCCCUGGAAAGAAGAUAAUUUUCAAAGGUCAGAGCCCAGGCAAAUAAGAGAGUCAAUUCAGGGUCAGCUCAGUAGAAGUCAAUACAAUAGAAACAUAAGAUAAACCUUUCACAGAACCCAGACACAGAUUCAGCUAACAGUGGUUCUCAGCCCUGGCUGUGUCAGGCCUCUGAGCCCAAGCCAAGCCAUCGCAUCUCCUGUGACUUGCACGUAUACGCCCAGAUGGCCUGAAGUAACCGAAGAAUCACAAAAGAAGUGAAUAUGGCCUGCCCCACCUUAACUGAUGACAUUCCACCACAAAAGAAGUGUAAAUGGCCGGUCCUUGCCUUAAGUGAUGACAUUACCUUGUGAAAGUCCUUUUCCUGGCUCAAAAAGCACCCGCACUGAGCACCUUGCGACCCCCACUCCUGCCCGCCAGAGAACAAACCCCCUUUGACUGUAAUUUUCCUUUACCUACCCAAAUCCUAUAAAACGGCCCCACCCUUAUCUCCCUUCGCUGACUCUCUUUUCGGACUCAGCCCGCCUGCACCCAGGUGAAAUAAACAGCCAUGUUGCUCACACAAAGCCUGUUUGGUGGUCUCUUCACACGGACGCGCAUGAAAUUUGGUGCCAUGACUCGGAUCGGGGGACCUCCCUUGGGAGAUCAAUCCCCUGUCCUCCUGUUCUUUGCUCCAUGAGAAGGAUCCACCUACGACCUCAGGUCCUCAGACCAACCAGCCCAAGAAACAUCUCACCAAUUUUAAAUCAGCGGCCAGGCGUUCCUCCAGAACCUCCUCCCACAGGAGCUUGCUACAUGUGCCAGAAAUCUGGCCACUGGGCCAAGGAAUGCCCACAGCCCGGGAUUCCUCCUAAGCCACGUCCCAUCUGUGUGGGACCCCACUGAAAAUCAGACUGUUCAACUCACCUGGCAGCCACUCCCAGAGCCCCUGGAACUCUGGCCCAAGGCUCUCUGACUGACUCCUUCCCAGAUCUUCUUGGCUUAGCGGCUGAAGACUGACACAGCCCGAUCGCCUCGGAAGCCCCAUAGACCAUCAUGGACGCCGAGCUUCCGGUAACUCUCACAGUGGAAGGUAAGGCCGUCCCCUUCUUAAUCAAUACGGAGGCUACCCACUCCACAUUACCUUCUUUUCAAGGGCCUGUUUCCCUUGCCUCCAUAACUGUUGUGGGUAUUGAUGGCCAGGCUUCUAAACCUCUUAGAACUCCCCACCUCUGGUGCCAACUUAGACAAUACUCUUUUAAGCACUCCUUUUUAGUUAUCCCCACCUGCCCAGUUCCCUUAUUAGGCUGAGACACUUUAACUAAAUUAUCUGCUUCCCUGACUAUUCCUGGACUACAGCUAUAUCUCAUUGCCGCCCUUCUUCCCAAUCCAAAGCCUCCUUUGCGUCCUCCUCUUGUAUCCCCCCACCUUAACCCACAAGUAUAAGAUACCUCUACUCCCUCCUUGGCAACCGAUCAUGCACCCCUUACCAUCUCAUUAAAACCUAAUCACCCUUACCCCACUCAACGCCAAUAUCCCAUCCCGCAGCACACUUUAAAAAGAUUAAAGCCUGUUAUCACUCGCCUGCUACAGCAUGGCCUUUUAAAGCCUAUAAACUCUGCUUACAAUUCCCC
rnacentral:lncRNA from 1 species